ACAGGGAUUGCCCCAGUAACGGCGAGUGAAGCGGCAACAGCUCAAAUUUGAAAUCUGGCCCUAGGCCCGAGUUGUAAUUUGCAGAGGAUGCUUUUGGCGCGGUGCCUUCCGAGUUCCCUGGAACGGGACGCCAUAGAGGGUGAGAGCCCCGUACGGUUGGACACCAAGCCUUUGUAAAGCUCCUUCGACGAGUCGAGUAGUUUGGGAAUGCUGCUCAAAAUGGGAGGUAUAUUUCUUCUAAAGCUAAAUAUUGGCCAGAGACCGAUAGCGCACAAGUAGAGUGAUCGAAAGAUGAAAAGCACUUUGAAAAGAGGGUUAAACAGCACGUGAAAUUGUUAAAAGGGAAGCGCUUGUGACCAGACUUGCGCCCGGUGAAUCACCCAGCUCUCGCGGCUGGGGCACUUUGCCGGCACAGGCCAGCAUCAGCUUGCCGUCGGGGACAAAAGCUUCAGGAACGUAGCUCUCUUCGGGGAGUGUUAUAGCCUGUUGCAUAAUACCCUUCGGCGGGCUGAGGUACGCGCUCCGCAAGGAUGCUGGCGUAAUGGUCAUCAGCGACCCGUCUUGAAACACGGACCAAGGAGUCAACCUUAUGUGCGAGUGUUUGGGUGUUAAACCCCUACGCGUAAUGAAAGUGAACGCAGGUGAGAGCUUCGGCGCAUCAUCGACCGAUCCUGAUGUUCUCGGAUGGAUUUGAGUAAGAGCAUAUAGGGUUGGACCCGAAAGAAGGUGAACUAUGCGUGUAUAGGGUGAAGCCAGAGGAAACUCUGGUGGAGGCUCGCAGCGGUUCUGACGUGCAAAUCGAUCGUCAAAUAUGCGCAUGGGGGCGAAAGACUAAUCGAACCUUCUAGUAGCUGGUUUCCGCCGAAGUUUCCCUCAGGAUAGCAGUGUUGAACUCAGUUUUAUGAGGUAAAGCGAAUGAUUAGGGACUCGGGGGCGCUAUAUUGCCUUCAUCCAUUCUCAAACUUUAAAUAUGUAAGAAGCCCUUGUUACUUAAUUGAACGUGGGCAUUCGAAUGUAUCAACACUAGUGGGCCAUUUUUGGUAAGCAGAACUGGCGAUGCGGGAUGAACCGAACGCGAGGUUAAGGUGCCAGAGUAGUCGCUCAUCAGACACCACAAAAGGUGUUAGUACAUCUUGACAGCAGGACGGUGGCCAUGGAAGUCGGAAUCCGCUAAGGACUGUGUAACAACUCACCUGCCGAAUGUACUAGCCCUGAAAAUGGAUGGCGCUCAAGCGACUCACCCAUACCUCGCCCUCAGUGUAGAAACGAUGCGCUGAGGAGUAGGCGGACGUGGAGGUCAGUGACGAAGCCUA
rnacentral:rRNA from 2 species